AUACGGAGGGUGCAAGCGUUAAUCGGAAUUACUGGGCGUAAAGCGUACGUAGGCGGUUCGUUAAGUUAGAUGUGAAAGCCCCGGGCUUAACCUGGGAACUGCAUUUAAAACUGGCGGACUAGAGUUGAGUAGGGGGGAGUGGAAUUUCAGGUGUAGCGGUGAAAUGCGUAGAGAUCUGAAGGAACACCAGUGGCGAAGGCGACUCCCUGGACUCGAACUGACGCUGAGGUACGAAAGCGUGGGUAGCAAACGGGAUUAGAAACCCCAGUAGUCC
rnacentral:rRNA from 1 species